UACAGGGGGUGCAAACGUUGCUCGGAAUCAUUGGGCGUAAAGCGCACGUAGGCGGUUCGUUAUGUCGGAUGUGAAAGCCCUUGGCUUAACCGAGGAAGUGCAUCCGAAACUGGCGAGCUAGAGUACUAAAGAGGAUCGCGGAAUUCCCGGUGUAGAGGUGAAAUCCGUAGAUAUCGGGAGGAACACCGGUGGCGAAGGCGGCGAUCUGGGUAGAUACUGACGCUGAGGUGCGAAAGCGUGGGGAGCAAACAGG
rnacentral:rRNA from 1 species